AGCGAACGUUUGCGGCGGGCCUAACACAUGCAAGUCGAACGGGCUGUCCUUCGGGCAGUCAGUGGCGCACGGGUGCGUAACACGUAGGUAAUCAACCCUUGGGUUCGGGAUAACACUGCGAAAGAGGUGCUAAUACCGGAUGCGACGGUCGGGACUUCGGUGCCGAUCGGGAAAGGUCCGCAAGGAUUGCCCGAGGACGAGCCUGCGGCCCAUCAGCUUGUUGGUGAGGUAAAAGCUCACCAAGGCUAAGACGGGUAGCUGGUCUGAGAGGAUGAUCAGCCACACUGGAACUGAGACACGGUCCAGACUCCUACGGGAGGCAGCAGUGGGGAAUAUUGCGCAAUGGACGAAAGUCUGACGCAGCCACGCCGCGUGAGCGAUGAAGGCCCUCGGGUCGUAAAGCUCUGUGGGGAGAGAAGAAUAAAGCCGGUGAAGAGCCGGCCCUGACGGUAUCUCCUUAGCAAGCACCGGCUAACUCCGUGCCAGCAGCCGACGG
rnacentral:rRNA from 1 species